CAGCCGCCGCGGUAAUACGGAGGAUCCGAGCGUUAUCCGGAUUUAUUGGGUUUAAAGGGUGCGUAGGCGGCACUUUAAGUCAGGGGUGAAAGACGGCAGCUCAACUGUCGCAGUGCCCUUGAUACUGAAGUGCUUGAAUGCGGUUGAAGACGGCGGAAUGAGACAAGUAGCGGUGAAAUGCAUAGAUAUGUCUCAGAACACCGAUUGCGAAGGCAGCUGUCUAAGCCGUUAUUGACGCUGAUGCACGAAAGCGUGGGGAUCGAACAGGAUUAGAUACCCUGGUAGUCCACGCCCUAAACGAUGAUGACUCGAUGUUUGCGAUAUACCGUAAGCGUCCAAGCGAAAGCGUUAAGUCAUCCACCUGGGGAGUACGCCCGCAAGGGUGAAACUUAAAGGAAUUGGCGGG
rnacentral:rRNA from 1 species